GAUGAACGCUGGCGGCGUGCCUAAUACAUGCAAGUCGAGCGAACAGAUAAGGAGCUUGCUCCUUUGACGUUAGCGGCGGACGGGUGAGUAGCACGUGGGUAACCUACCUAUAAGACUGGGAUAACUUCGGGAAACCGGAGCUAAUACCGGAUAACAUUUGGAACCGCAUGGUUCUAAAGUGAAAGAUGGUUUUGCUAUCACUUGUAGAUGGACCCGGGCCGUAUUAGCUAGUUGGUAAGGUAACGGCUUACCAAGGCGACGAUACGUAGCCGACCUGAGAGGGUGAUCGGCCACACUGGAACUGAGACACGGUCCAGACUCCUACGGGAGGCAGCAGUAGGGAAUCUUCCGCAAUGGGCGAAAGCCUGACGGAGCAACGCCGCGUGAGUGAUGACGGGUUUCGGCUCGUAAAACUCUGUUAUUAGGGAAGAACAAAUGUGUAAGUAACUGUGCACGUCUUGACGGUACCUAAUCAGAAAGCCACGGCUAACUACGUG
rnacentral:rRNA from 1 species